CAUUUUACAGAUUAAAUAGUGA
rnacentral:miRNA from 1 species